rnacentral:rRNA from 1 species
UUGAUUACGUCCCUGCCCUUUGUACACACCGCCCGUCGCUGCCCGGGACUGAGCCAUUUCGAGAAACUUGGGGACAGCCGAUCCGGUUGCCUUCGGGCAGCCGCUUUGAUCGAAACCAAUUUAAUCGCAGUGGCUUGAACCGGGCAAAAGUCGUAACAAGGUAGCUGUAGGUGAACCUGCUGCUGGAUCAUUACGCAACGAGUUUUUCAAACUCCCAUUUUGGCAAGCUGUCUAAAAUCGAUAUGAGAUUUGGUUGUGGAUGGCCAAAGUGCUUCCUUGGGAUGGCAGGGAUACGCUGAACGGCUAACGCUGGUGUCUAUGUGCCGCUGAGCAGUCGUCUUCGUCCGUGGCUGUGAUGAGGUGGUGCGGUAGUGCCUGAGGCACUGUGAGAAGUGUCCGGUUUAAGACUUAAUGAGCCCGCCGAAAGGGGACGCCAGCACCCAUUGUUUUUUCAAUAAAUUUUUCUGAAACGAAACGCAAAGAAUUCUAGCCUUAUCGGUGGAUCACUCGGCUCGUAGUUCGAUGAAGAACGCAGCCAACAGCGAUAUUUAGUGUGAACUGCAGAAACUUUGAACACAAAGCCUUCGAAUGUACAUGACGCCUGAGGUGUUAAAUCCUCUGGCACGGCUGGUUCAGGGUCGUUAUCCAAACAAGCACUGCCUGUUGUGUUUGCCUUCCAGGCAUAUUCAAAUUGUAUCUGCCCAGAUUGGAAAGUGGCGAUUUGCCUCGGGGCACAAGUCGGAGUCUACGUGAAAGGAGGCAACGGCCGAAUGCCUCGAUCACUUUGACCCUUAAUGACAAAACAUUUCGACCUGAACUCAGGCGUGAGUACCCGCUGAACUUAAGCAUAUCAGUAAGCGGAGGAAAAGAAACUAACCAGGAUUCCCUUAGUAACGGCGAGUGAAA